CGGAUUACUCCAGCUUUAACCCCUACCCUACCUACAUGCCUUAUCCACCUUUCUAUCCACCUUAUACACAGUACCCAGCUUAUCCACCCUCACCUUUCUAUCCAAACCCGGCAAACCCCACCUCGGGGAAUGCUGCACCCCCACCUCCACCACCUACAGAACUAGCAGCCCCAGUUACUCAACCUCCUAGACCUAGCUCAGCUGGUGGGAGCAAGGUAAAGAUGACAGAUUACCUCAAGCUGGAUGCUCCCAAAU
rnacentral:lncRNA from 1 species